rnacentral:rRNA from 1 species
GCCCUUCACUACGGAAUAGCCUCUGGAAACGGAGAGUAAUACCGUAUGCGCCCUUCGGGGAAAGAUUUAUCGGUGAAGGAUUAGCCCGCGUCUGAUUAGAUAGUUGGUGGGGUAACGGCCUACCAAGUCGACGAUCAGUAGCUGGUUUGAGAGGAUGAUCAGCAACACUGGGACUGAGACACGGCCCAGACUCCUACGGGAGGCAGCAGUGGGGAAUCUUAGACAAUGGGCGCAAGUGAUCUAGCCAUGCCGCGUGAGUGACGAAGGCCUUAGGGUCGUAAAGCUCUUUCGCCAGGGAUGAUAAUGACAGUACCUGGUAAAGAAACCCCGGCUAACUCCGUGCCAGCAGCCGCGGUAAUACGGAGGGGGUUAGCGUUGUUCGGAAUUACUGGGCGUAAAGCGCGCGUAGGGGAUUGGAAAGUUGGGGGUGAAAUCCCGGGGCUCAACCCCGAACUGCCUCCAAAACUAUCAGUCUAGAGUUCGAGAGAGGU